AACAUACUCCCUCCGUCCGGAAAUACUUGUCAAAGAAAUGGAUGUAUCUAGAAGUAUUUUAGUUCUAGAUACAUCCGCUUUUAUCCAUUUUUGCGACAAGUAAUUCCGGACGGAGGGAGUACAAA
rnacentral:pre_miRNA from 1 species